UUACGGCCACAUUAAGUUGAAACAUCAGUUCCCGCACGAUCAGCGAAGUUAAGCAACGUCGAAACUGGUCGGUACUUAGGUGGGUGACCGCACUGGAAUAGCAGGUGCUGUAA